rnacentral:rRNA from 1 species
GUUUGACCUCAAAUCAGGUAGGAGUACCCGCUGAACUUAAGCAUAUCAAUAAGCGGAGGAAAAGAAACCAACCGGGAUUGCCUUAGUAACGGCGAGUGAAGCGGCAAAAGCUCAAAUUUGAAAUCUGGUACCUUCGGUGCCCGAGUUGUAAUUUGGAGAGGGCAACUUUGGGGCCGUUCCUUGUCUAUGUUCCUUGGAACAGGACGUCAUAGAGGGUGAGAAUCCCGUGUGGCGAGGAGUGCGGUUCUUUGUAAAGUGCCUUCGAAGAGUCGAGUUGUUUGGGAAUGCAGCUCUAAGUGGGUGGUAAAUUCCAUCUAAAGCUAAAUAUUGGCGAGAGACCGAUAGCGAACAAGUACAGUGAUGGAAAGAUGAAAAGAACUUUGAAAAGAGAGUGAAAAAGUACGUGAAAUUGUUGAAAGGGAAGGGCAUUUGAUCAGACAUGGUGUUUUGUGCCCUCUGCUCCUUGUGGGUAGGGGAAUCUCGCAUUUCACUGGGCCAGCAUCAUUUUUGGUGGCAGGAUAAAUCCAUAGGAAUGUAGCUUGCCUCGGUAAGUAUUAUAGCCUGUGGGAAUACUGCCAGCUGGGACUGAGGACUGCGACGUAAGUCAAGG